rnacentral:misc_RNA from 1 species
GCACAGUGGGGCUUCUUCCG